UUCCGGGUAGUUUAAAUAGAAUGAUAAUUUGUGGCAUUAUAGGUGAAGUCUAUCUUCGGAA
rnacentral:tRNA from 1 species